rnacentral:snoRNA from 1 species
CUUCUGUGAUGACACGAUGACGAGUCAGAAAGGUCACGCCCUGCUCUUGGUCCUUGUCAGUGCCAUGUUCUGUGGUGCUGGCAUGGGUUCCAUCAGCAAAAGUGUCCUAUUCUUUGAUUGAUCUAGAGGCAUUUGUCUGAGAAGG